CUUCACAUUCACAUGGUGUGUUAAGGUGUUUUAACUUCACCUGACAAAAUUUACACCUUCUCAUCUGUGCCUCCUUUUCAUAUAUGGCCUCUGCUUUUCUGAACAGGAAAUAAAUGCAUUGAGGGCUGAACAUUCCCAGCCCAUGCACAAAUAGCCUCCUGGGAGCCUUGAUUCAGGAUUCUUGGAGCUGUCUUAGUUCAGCUUGCCUGGGAAGGUGGAGGGGUUUGUCUGGGAGCACCUGUUUGAAGAUGCUGGCUCGUAGUGGUGGGAGCCAUCAGCAGAUGAGGUCAGCAGUCUGAAGUAUCUGCAGAGGUCAGAGGGAAAUUAAUGGGUCAUUUCUUUUGCAAAUGAAGACCUGCAGCCUGGAGCAGCCUUAGUAAAGCCCAGCAUGUGGGUCCAGGCUGUUCCUUUUAUGACCCGAUGGAAAUGGGGCCCAAAAGGACUUCCCUGAUGGAGUUCAGUCUCCAUUAAAGUACUUUGUUAUCUUUCCCUUCUGCAGCAUGCACUGGGUAUAGAGCAUGGAUUGGGGGUUAUCCUGGCUAUAAGCACACUCAAGAGGAUGAAGGUUUUAUGGCUGCAUGGAAAACCUUGGACUGCAGGCUACCUGAAGAGCCAAGGCGAAAUUCAGGUCUAUCUGCACGAGCCCGGAUGCCGGGAGAGCAGCCGGCAGGAGGAGCUCGCUGGACACGUCGCUGGAUCGUUCCCAGGCAGUCACAGACACAUGAUUCAAGGGCAUCGCUUUAGAUCUGCCUUCUUGGGACUUGAAGACAAACCAUCGGAGCAGAACACAGAGGAAACUUCGUGGUAUUGCAACCGAGAAGCCCCAGUGAUUUAUAUUAAUAUUUUUUUAGACUUUGCUCAGCUUGUUUUUCCCACCAUGAUGCUUUUAUCUGUCAUCUUUUUAGAUACUUAAGGUGUUCAGGAAGAUACUGAGAUGCCUUUUAGUCCCUAGAAGUGGCCAACUGUUUUAUUUUCCAAGAAAGCUAGUGUAAGAUUUCUUGGACAGCAUUCUAACCACAGAGUAAAGAAUUCAAAAACAAUGUUUGUCUUAGCAUAGGAAGUUAUCCUCCUGGAGUCCUCAUGACCUCUGAGAGGACCUGCAAGUAAAAAGCUCUGAAACCUAUCAGUACCACUCUGAUUAUUGGCUUGACAAAGUUAUUCAAACAGUUCUGCCCCCUUGUAUGCAGUUCACCUAUGUCUUCUGUGAGAAGCGGGCACAGAGGACAGUAGUAGCUCUUUUGCACAGCACAGUGUUCUCAUUAGUUAGGUGCAAAGUGUCACUCUGCUUCUUAGGGCCAGUCCUGCAGCCCUGAAUUUCACAACCUCCAUGCUUGUGCCUCUGCACCACCUUUAAAAUAAUUAAGAUUUUUUUUAAUUGGUGAAUUCUUUGCUUUUGUAAGUCUGUCCCUCAUUUAGUUACUAAAUGGGAGCUGGGUGCCUUCUGGUCCUGAAGGUUGCUGUAAUAAUUAUUUUGAUUCUGAAUGUGCCAGAAACUAUUCUAAUGCAUAUCAGUGUAAAUUAAGUCAAUAGAGAUUCUUCAAAUUUAUCCUGGUGUUCAAGAGAAUGGAAUUCAUGCACUUCAAUUUACAGCUUAUUAAGUGAUCAGAAUUAAUGAACUUGCAAUGACCUUUUCUGUUCUUGUUUACACAUUUUCUUCCUAUUCACUCAUAAUGUACAUGAUUUGGAAAAUGUAGAGAGUUGAAAAGGCAGCGUGUGGGUCAGAUAUGUCCCAUGGAGCACAGCAUUGUGCUUCAGGCUUUAAUCAUAUUUUCAAAGCUGCAGUGUAGAAAUGGCAUCUCUGCUGAUGCUCAGAAACCCAGCUUAAUUUUUAGAACCCUCUCUGCAUUCUUAAAGCUAGAAAAACAUUUGUACUGAGGAGCAGUAAAGGUGUUCUUCAGAAUCACUGGAUAGAUGCUGAACAAUCUUUUUUUUUAGCAUUAUUUUUCAGUGUAGUACUAUAUUUCAGCCUGGAGGUUGGGAAUAAUACAAACCAUUGGAUCCAUCUUUCAUUUUAUUCUGAGAUUUGGAAAUCACUUGGGAUGUCACCAAGAAAACCUCACAUAAACACUCUUUUUCCUAAGACCAGCUGAACAUUAUUCCACUAUGAUUCAGCUCAAUGUUUGAUGAAAGUUUCCCUUUGAUUUGCCUAAGGCUAAACUAUGACUAUGACUAAGGCUAAACUUGUGAGGCUGUGUGCUCAUCUGGUCAUUGUUUCUCUCUGACUUCAUAGUAUAGGAUGACUUCUAAAUGCUUCAUCUGAUCAACUACAAAAAUUUCAGCGAUUUUCUAUUAUUACUGUAAGAGGGAAUGCCACUAAUUUCUAGAAAUACUAGGAAAUCAAAAAGGGAGAAUUGUGAAGCAGCAGUGAUUUAGGUACCACUGCACUUGAAGGUGUGAAGCAACUGGGUGAUAGCUCUCGCAUACCAAUACCUUUAUCUCAUCUCUGUCUAUUGUUCUAGAAAUGUUAUGUGAGCACACAGAAAGAUCUGUCCCCAGAUAAACACAGGGCUUGUGCAGCAACCUCUGCAGAAUUGAAGAAGAAUCGAGAUCCAAAGUUAGAAGGAAAAAGAAGCCCAGAUGUGAGGGAGUUAAGGGUGCUCUGCUAGAGGAGUAAUGUAAGCAUGCACAGGAACACUGACAGUGACAUUUAGAGAACCCAUUUACUCAGGGAGUGGAGGUAGAUGGGGCAUUAAAAUGCUAUUGUAAGAGAGAAUAAGAGAUUCCUGAAGAGGAAAACGCUGCUAUCACAGCAACACAAUCUGCUUGAGGGCAUGCACGUGCCCCAGACAUUGCCAGGGGAGCUGAGAAGCUUGAGAAGGUGGCAUAAGAGGCACAUGUACAGGGGGGUGUGAGGCUUAUGGUAUAAAUCCCUGUAUGGGAGAGCAAAAUCUUCAAAGGAAUGGGUGUCGAUAAUAAACUGCCCACAAGAAAUGAGAAAUAGAGGGCA
ensembl:lncRNA